GUUGAGUAUGGCAAUCCUGUUCUGCAGUGCCACUUGCUGUCCAGGGUUUCCAUGAUGGGUAGGUGAGGAGGAGCUGAUUCCCAGAGGAGGUGACAGAGCUCCCAGGGCCUCCUUUAGCCGAAACACCUCCUUGGACAGGCCCUGGGAUUCCUGGAUGUUCUUGUGGAGCUCCUGGAUGUGGCUGGAUUGGGCCUGCAAAUCAGCUAGCUGUUUCUGCACCGUGGCCAGCUGGGACUCUGCGACCUGUCGCUCACUCUUAUUAAAGAGAGCCUCCCUCUGUACCUGGAACACCUAGACCAGUAAAACCACCAAUGGCACCCUGUCACUACAGCAAAGCUGUCUAUUUGGUUACAUCUCCAAUUCAGAUGCUUUCUGCUUAUAUAAAAGUGUCAGUAUCGCAGAGCAGUUGCUGUAGCAACAGGUUCAUGCAGACAGAAAUACAAGCUUGGAAAAAAAAACCUCAAGCAAAAGGACUUAAGUUUUGUGUACCUGCGUUACCUUGCAGCAAAGCUCCUUUGCCAUUUGAUUGCCUUUAACAUUCAUGCUGUACUUUGCCUUGAUUCCUGAUUAUGUGGAUGAACAUACCCUCUCCUAGAAUUCCUGUUUUCAUUUUCUCAGAAUCUAAAAUGUCUAUUCCCAAAACCAUUGCUUUCUGAGUGUUUGCUCACAUGAAUUUCCAGUUUACCUCUGAUCAUCAUACAUACACCCAUGCUAGAGUGCAAAUUAAAUACAGUAUACUUCAGUAAGUCAUACAUUACACUACACAAACAUUUGAUUUUGUUUGAAAAGUGUGACUUUGUAACAAACCCGCUUCCAUAACCAGCACAAAUAUACCUAUUAGUUUGUGUGCAAGCACUAAAUUUCAAUGUUGGAUGUGGUGGUUCCAUGUUCUUGCAAUAAAAUGCCUUCUGCUUUCAGUAGGAUUAAAUUUAUGAAGUGCAUUAAAGUUCCUUUUAAGAUA